rnacentral:rRNA from 1 species
CCUACGCGCUGCUGCAGUGGGGAAUAUUGGACAAUGGGCGAAAGCCUGAUCCAGCCAUGCCGCGUGUGUGAAGAAGGCCUUCGGGUUGUAAAGCACUUUCAGUGGGGAAGAAAGCCUUGGGGCUAAUACCCUCGAGGAAGGACAUCACCCACAGAAGAAGCACCGGCUAACUCCGUGCCAGCAGCCGCGGUAAUACGGAGGGUGCGAGCGUUAAUCGGAAUUACUGGGCGUAAAGCGCGCGUAGGCGGUCUGAUAAGCCGGUUGUGAAAGCCCCGGGCUCAACCUGGGAACGGCAUCCGGAACUGUCAGGCUAGAGUGCAGGAGAGGAAGGUAGAAUUCCCGGUGUAGCGGUGAAAUGCGUAGAGAUCGGGAGGAAUACCAGUGGCGAAGGCGGCCUUCUGGACUGACACUGACGCUGAGGUGCGAAAGCGUGGGUAGCAAACAGGAUUAGAUACCCCAGUAGUC